CGGUGUGUUUCCUUUAUGCAUCAAUGGGUUGCGUGUGUUUCGGGGUCACCUUGACAUGGUGGGGGUCGUUGGUUCGAGUCCAAUCGCGCCUACCA
rnacentral:tRNA from 1 species